rnacentral:tRNA from 1 species
GGCGCUAUAGCUAAGUGGUUACAGCGACAGAUUAGAAAUCUGUUCCUCUUCGAGGGCGCAGGUUCGAAUCCUGCUGGCGUCG